rfam:Aedes aegypti strain Liverpool supercont1.78 genomic scaffold, whole genome shotgun sequence.
GGCUCGGUAGCUUAGUUGGUAAAGCGCUCGUCUAGCAUGCAACAGUCUUGGGUUCAAAUCCCAGCCGAGCAC